rnacentral:tmRNA from 1 species
GGGGGCGUAAUGGCUUCGACGUGUUAUUGACAGCUUUAAGAGCAUGUCGAGCGUUGGCUAAGUGCUCGUUAAACAAUUGGUCAAAAAAAGAAAUGCAGAGACAGAAAUGCCUGCAGUUGCUCUUGCCUAAGUAAGUAGCAACCUUAUCAACUAAACGUGCCUAUCAGUUCGGUUGAUUCGUAGUAGAUCAGAUAGGACCAUCGAGUAAGAUUCUUUAGGUGCGUAGCUCGAUUGGUAUCACGAACCUGACGUAUCUGACAGGUCAUGUCUUCGAGAUGUCAGAUAUGAAGAAUCGAAGGCUAAACAUGUAGCGCUUGAGGUUUGAUAUAGUGCGGACAUGGGUUCGACUCCCAUCGCCUCCACCA